rnacentral:rRNA from 1 species
AUGAACGCUGGCGGCGUGCCUAAUACAUGCAAGUCGAGCGAACAGAUGAGGAGCUUGCUCCUCUGACGUUAGCGGCGGACGGGUGAGUAACACGUGGAUAACCUACCUAUAAGACUGGGAUAACUACGGGAAACCGGAGCUAAUACCGGAUAAUAUAUUGAACCGCAUGGUUCAAUAGUGAAAGACGGUUUUGCUGUCACUUAUAGAUGGAUCCGCGCCGCAUUAGCUAGUUGGUAAGGUAACGGCUUACCAAGGCAACGAUGCGUAGCCGACCUGAGAGGGUGAUCGGCCACACUGGAACUGAGACACGGUCCAGACUCCUACGGGGGGCAGCAGUAGGGAAUCUUCCGCAAUGGGCGAAAGCCUGACGGAGCAACGCCGCGUGAGUGAUGAAGGUCUUCGGAUCGUAAAACUCUGUUAUUAGGGAAGAACAAAUGUGUAAGUAACUAUGCACGUCUUGACGGUACCUAAUCAGAAAGCCACGGCUAACUACGUG